UGGGGAAUAUUGGACAAUGGGCGCAAGCCUGAUCCAGCCAUGCCGCGUGCGUGAUGACGGCCCUAGGGUUGUAAAGCUCUUUUACCGGUGAAGAUAAUGCCGGUAACUGGAGAAGAAGCCCCGUCUAACUACGUGCCAGCAGCCGCGGUAAUACGAAGGGGGCUAGCGUUGUUCGGAUUUACUGGGCGUAAAGCGCACGUAGGCGGAUUUUUAAGUCAGGGGUGAAAUCCCGGGGCUCAACCCCGGAACUGCCUUUGAUACUGGAAGUCUUGAGUAUGGUGGAGGUGAGUGGAAUUCCGAAUGUAGAGGUGAAAUUCGUAGAUAUUCGGAAGAACACCAGUGGCGAAGGCGGCUCACUGGACCAUUACUGACGCUGAGGUGCGAAAGCGUGGGGAGCAAACAGG
rnacentral:rRNA from 1 species